GUUGCUAUGGUGAAAUUGGUAAACACACAGACUUGAGGGGUCUGCGGAAUUUUUCUUUCUCGGUUCAAGUCCGGGUAGCAACAC
rnacentral:tRNA from 1 species